GACGAGUCGAAAAAAGAACGCGAGAUGCGGAUAUUUUUGAGAUAGGGGACGUCUGCUUUUGAUAGCAAGCACGGGAAGUGCCGACGUUGAUUGCCCUGAUGUGAACAGGUAGUAAUCACA
rnacentral:sRNA from 31 species